rnacentral:rRNA from 1 species
UACGAACUGUGCGAACGUUAUUCGGAAUCACUGGGCUUACAGGGUGCGUAGGCGGCUUGUUAAGUAGGGUGUGAAAGCCCCCGGCUCAACCGGGGAAUUGCGCCCUAAACUGGCGAGCUGGAGUGAGAUAGGGGUGUGUGGAACUUCCGGUGGAGCGGUGAAAUGCGUUGAUAUCGGAAGGAACGCCAGUGGCGAAGGCGGUCCGCUGGACCUGUACUGACGCUGAGGCGCGAAAGCCAGGGGAGCAAACGGG